GGGAGUAUAGCUCAAAUGGUUAAAGCGAUCUUCACGCGAUAGGUUACGAGUACCCUGCGGGAAGCCACCCAAAGGGUGUCUACAAUUCUCGUUGCUCCCG
rnacentral:tRNA from 2 species